rnacentral:rRNA from 1 species
AUGCGGCUACUCUCCGGCGUCCCCGCCUCCCGCCUCACCUCCCCGCGCAUCUCCUUCGCCCGCUCGAGCCGUAGAAGCAUGGGGGCGAACGGCCCCGCAAGCAGCACCGCCGCCUCGUCAUCCUCUUCCUCGGCCACUGCCGGCGCCGGCGCCGGCGCGGCCCAGAAGCCGUGGCUGUUCGUCGGGCUCGGGAACCCCGGCAGGAUGUACAAGGGGACCCGCCACAACGUUGGGUUUGAGAUGAUUGAUGCUAUUGCAGAAGCUGAGGGGAUAUCUGUCAGCACUAAGCAGUUCAAAUCGAUGGUUGGGAAAGGCCUCAUUGGUGAUGUCCCUGUAAUGCUUGCCAAGCCGCAGACUUUUAUGAAUGCAAGUGGUGAGUCUGUUGGCCAGCUGGUUUCAUAUUUCAAGAUACCACUUAAUCAAGUCGUUCUGAUCUACGAUGAUCUAGACUUACCCUUUGCAAAACUACGUCUACUGCCAAAGGGGGGACAUGGUGGGCACAAUGGGAUGAGAAGUGUCAUUCACCAUCUGAAACAAAGCCGUGAUUUCCCGCGGCUAAGAGUUGGCAUUGGACGGCCAACUGGAAUGAUGGGAGCCAUCGGUUUUGUUCUACGUGCAUUCAGCAAGGAAGAACAAGAAGAGCUUGAUUCCACGUUUCUGAGGGGCUUGCAAGCGGUGCGGAUAAUGUUGCUGGAAGGGUUCAACAAGAGUGCGACCUUUGUGAACACUCCAGCUCCACAGCCACGUGAAAACGUUGAAGAGAUGAAAAUAACCUGA